GUUUAAUGAUGAAAUCCAUGCGUGUCAACUGACUCUGGAGAGUCCUGGUGCGCUGCGGCACUGGUCGGCGUUUUGCCGGCCGGACCGCUGCAGUGCAGCAGGCCUCUGGAGGCAUGAUCAGAGACUAACUAGCUGAAUAC
ensembl:snoRNA small nucleolar RNA SNORD10